rnacentral:lncRNA from 13 species
CUCAUAUAAGCAGCUGGAAGCUGAACUGAAUGACAGCAGUCACUUUCUUUAGAGGAAGAGGCAGAUAGCACAUUUGUUGAAAUACUUAGGUAUCCAGUAGAAUUCCAGGGGAGUUUAGACAGUGAAGUAAUGCUGAGAGAGACAGAGCUAUUCUCCAUUGGCCACUCACCAAAUUGACCAGUCCUUCUGCCAGGCCUGGUUAGGUCAUUAUAUUUCCUGUGCAGGAGCACUGGGUCACCACGUCCCUGCUGGCCUUGGUGGGGUCAGCAGCGGGGUCACGGGUGGGGGCUGUCCCAGGGUAGGUGAGAACCUAGGGAGGGUAGCGGGCAGGCUGGGCUGAGCUUUCUUCCUUCCAGCCCUCUUCCAUCAUACAGGACACUGUGGUGCUUUGCUGUGCCACUCAGGCUUUUUCAUUCAGAGUCAGAGCUCGGGAGCCAUUUGUCGCUCUGCUUCCAGAGGCAACUAUUUUCAGAAAUCAACCACUGCCUGCCCCGGGGCCAGUGUCAGGGGUCAGCAGAAGCUUGUUCUGGCCAACAGCCCUCUCCUCCAUCACAGUCAUCCCCACAUUCAGCGGGGAGGUGCUAGAAUUAUCUGUUCCUGUUUCCUUCAGAGUCUGCACAGAAUGCUUUGGAUUCCCGAGAUCUGGCUUCCUCUGUGUGUUGUCACUGACUCCAGCCCAGCUGCUCACAGCACGGCCUGGGAGACGUUUCCCUUUGCAUUCAACGACACAGGUCCCCGUUGAGCUGUGGACUUGAGCUUCAUGUCACCAAAGUCUUCCAUGAUGAUGAUGGUGGUGGUGACCUGCUCCACGUAGCCUCCUGGGACCACAGCACCCAUCCCAAGAUGACCAGCUGGGUCAGAGGCAGCCACACAGGCUUUCCUUCUCAGGCAAGAGUCCUUCCUUUCAAGGAAACAUCUCUGUGCUCACCAUUACAUUCCCCACCUGAUGUCCAAAAUCCUGAAUGCCAUGGAGGGAUUAUAGAGCAACAUCAAUCUCUUAAAAUUGGAUUCAGGGCCAAUCCAAUUCUGAGGAUUGUGUUUCUUGCACUGUAAACCUGUCUGCUGGUCUACCGUGCCAGAGUGGUGUGGGGCCAGGGCCCAGGGACAACAGGACCCACACAGGCUCCCAUAAGCAAGUAGGUGCUAGAGGCUUGUGUUCAGAGUUGGGGAGGGAAGUGUCAGGGGCCAAAAGUUUACCACAAGUCGCCAAAAGGGUUCACAGACAGACACAGAGGCUGGCAAGGAAGUGUUGAGGGGCAUCAUGCUAGAAGAGGCUUGGGACCAGGCCAGUAAGGCAGGCCCCGGGAUGGGUGGUUUGAAACCUUCUCCUAGAAUGUGCUUGCUUUGCAUACCUAAGAAACUUUUCUAAUCACUUGUGUGAUCUUCACUAUAGAAGUCUUGGCCCAGUUCUGAUACAAAAAGCUUCACUCUUCUAAGAGUGAAUACAGUUAAAGCACACAUGUGCACAUGCACACACACACACAGACACAGACUCCUCUCUGGCAAAAGUGGUAGAUAAAAAAAUGUCCUAGGCUGGGCACCCUGGAUAUAUGUUCAUUACAGAUAAAUUUGAAUUUUCCAUGUUAAUGAAGCGAUCAGAGAUGGAAACAGAACACUCGAAUUUAUUUGUUUUACUUUGUACAGUGUGAGGAAUUUUCUUCUGUCGGCAGCUCUGCCUCCUUUUCAUGCUUUGCCAAGUCUAGUGUUAGACUUCUUAUUUUCCUGCAAUGUAUCAGUGGCAGGGGCUCUGGGCAAUGGUGGCAAACCAGCCAAAUAUUCCAAAUACACAGCACACGGUGGACAGCAGGCAUGCCAGCCAGCCUUGCUGGGAGCGGGAGCGCUCUGCGUGCCAGUCAUAGCAGCUUUCAAAACACGGCCUUCUCACUCCUUUUAACAAGCAUAUUCUCCACUCCUUAGCUCUCUUUACUUUAUAUGUCCUUGCUUGUUUUCUGGCAGCUCAUUUUCAGCCGAGCUAUGGAAAGGCGUGGACGUCCUCCCUGCCGAUCCCGGCCAUCCUCCAUGAAUCACCAUCAUCCUCACAAUUCAGUCUAAAAGGCGAAUACUUUCAGACCUCGCCAACGAUCGCUCUGUUUCUGCUAACUGUCUGGUUUAGAUCAUGUAUUGCUUGGGAAUAUACGGAUUUCUCCUCAUUUACCAGUGAUAAAACUUAAAUAUGAAAAAUCAAAAUUUAGUAUUCCAAGAAAAUAAUCAUGGAUAUAAGCAAAGACUGCCAACUUGUUCAUCGUGACACUGUCUUCUGCAAUAGCAAUGAUAGUAAUAAAAAUUAGAAAAGCACUAAAUAUCCA